AUUUUGGACAAUGGGGGAAACCCUGAUCCAGCCAUCCCGCGUGUGCGAUGAAGGCCUUCGGGUUGUAAAGCACUUUUGGCAGGGAAGAAACGGCACCGGCUAAUACCGGGUGUCACUGACGGUACCUGCAGAAUAAGCACCGGCUAACUACGUGCCAGCAGCCGCGGUAAUACGUAGGGUGCAAGCGUUAAUCGGAAUUACUGGGCGUAAAGCGUGCGCAGGCGGUUCGGAAAGAAAGAUGUGAAAUCCCAGAGCUUAACUUUGGAACUGCAUUUUUAACUGCCGAGCUAGAGUAUGUCAGAGGGGGGUAGAAUUCCACGUGUAGCAGUGAAAUGCGUAGAGAUGUGGAGGAAUACCGAUGGCGAAGGCAGCCCCCUGGGAUAAUACUGACGCUGAGGCGCGAAAGCGUGGGGAGCAAACAGG
rnacentral:rRNA from 1 species